rnacentral:lncRNA from 1 species
AGAGUUAAUGUAGGGGAAAAAUCCCUCAAGUUUCUAAAUAAAUUAAUGGAGCAGAAUCAAUCAUCAAAACUUUGCUUUCUCUAUUCCUCUCUCUCCCACCCUGCCCACUCCCCACCCCUCACUCUCACACACACACAGACACACACGAACAUACACACACACAUACACAAAAACAUACACACACAGACACACACAUUCACAUGAACACACACAUAUACACACAUACAGACACACAAAAACCGACACACACAUACACAAAAACAUACACACACAGACACAUACAUACACACACAUUCAUAUACACAGACACAUAUACACACAAAAAUACACACACAAACACAGACACACACAUACACACAAACAUGCACACACAUACACACGUGUACACGUACACACACACACACACACACACACGGCAGAGUUUUUUCUGUUGGCUUCACUACUGUUUCCCCAGAACUUAAAAUCGUGCCUAGCACAUAGUCAGCCCUUAAUAUUUGCUACAUAAAUUGUUAUAGUGAACCGAGAUGGUUCUCUUGUACGAGUUAAAAUGAGAAGCCAACUCGACCCUAAGAUACAUCCUGGUGAAAUUCUUUAACCUGGUGGAAAAAUAAAGACUUCUCUCAAAUUUUAAGUGGAGAAUGCAAAGUCAGAUGACUUCCAAAAUUUUUGAUGAUCAGGACAGCUUUGAACUUCACAUGGCAACGGUCAUUGCCUGAGACGACAGAGUGAAAACUAGAAUCCUUGGGGGAAGAGGCCCCCCCAGGACCCCUGAAGCCAGGAAGACAAUCAAAGGAAAUCUUGGAACUGGAAACUCAAGAAAAUGGCCUCUUUGGCAGAACUCGGAGACUAAAGGACAUCCAAAGAGGAACCUCUUUGUCACUCCAUUGAUGUCCAUGGCACACCUUCUGUGGGCUGCCUACUCCUUCUUCUGGGCCUGGGGUUUAGUGGGAAGAGGCAGCCUGUCAACAAACAUUCGAAGGAACAAUUGAAUCAGCACUGGGAGAGCAGGGUUUGCUCUGCGGCCUUAACUGGGUGGGGCUGGUGGGGCUGGAAGCCUCAGCGCUCCUCACAGAGCAGCUGUGGAGGUUGCAGCCCAGCCCACUGCUGGCAACUGCAGCUCUGGGACACAGUGGGCCCCUUGGCCCUGGGUAGUGGCCAGAAGGACAGUCUUCCCAGACCCUGCAUCCCUCUGCACAGCCGGGGUGGGCUUGGGCGGGACACCUGACUCUGCAGCAUGGAGGGAAGGACACAGGGAGCAGCAGGGGGGAAAGAUGGCCAUGGCCUUCAGAGCCCAACCCAGCAUGUUUGCUGUGAUGAGAAGAGGGCCAGUGCCCUCGGUCACAUCCCCGCGGCUCCCACCCUUGUGAGCUCAACCCUGGAGCCACCUCUAGCCCCCUGCCCUAAGCCAGACCAGAAGGGACCCAGCUCACUCCCACUUCCUCCUAAGCCUCGGCAGCUCACCCGCGUGACAGGAAUGGGGCCACCGGAGUCCAUCUGGAAUGGGGGAGACCCUGAAGCCUAGAACCUCAGCCUCAUGUUCUCUUUCCUUCCACUCCUGGGGCCCGGUUACAUCCACGAACACUGUGUGUGUCCCUUGUCCAUUCUUUCAACUGGAUUUAUUGGGUACCUACUAUGCACUGCAAACUGGCCGGCAGAGCAGUCUCAGAACCUGCGGCUGUGGGACUUUUAUGCCGCAGGGACGACCAGGCAGAGCACUCCUGGGCUCCACUGUUGCCGACUCUCUCAAGCUCCAGAAGAACCACCUUGAACACACACCCAACCAAUGCACAGUAAGAAGGCAGGCAGUACUUUCUGUACCUUGGGAACAAAAAUAAAACCCAGUCACUUAAGUGUCACUCCUACGGCAGCAGUGACUUAAUGACUGAAGUAGAGGAAAAAAUACCGUUGUCUGAACAGAGACAUAUUUAGCGAGUUUUGUGAUACUGACUGACGUUCUUAAUUCCCAUCCCUUUGGGGGAAAAAAAAAAGCGCUUGUGUGCCCCUCCCCCCAAAAGGAUAAAAAUAAAUUACCAGAGCAGACACACAACAGCAGCCUCACUCCCUUCUGUCCCAAGCUCUGUCUGGUGACUGAAUCACCCAGAUGUCCAACUCGGAGAAAUGGAGAGGAGAAAUGGUAAUUUACCCCCUGGGCAGAGGAGCAGCCAGGAUGCAGGUGGGGGCACCGAGGGUGCCAUCUCCCUGCCCCUUGGUCACCCAGGCUAUGCUCUGUCUCUGUCAUCUUUUUUCUUCAUGUCCAUGUCCUUCCAUCGCUCUGCUGCUUGGGCUCUGUUUCCUGGCCUCUGCUGACUUCUGCCUGAUGACCUGUAUCUCCCAGAACAGAAAAGCUUGGAAGUCAUCGUAGCUCAGCAGUCACAAGCCCGGCUAGUACCUAUGAGGAUUCAGCUUCGAUCCCUGGCAUCGCUCAGUAGGUUAAGGAUCUGGUGUUGCCGUGAGCUGGGGUGUAGGUUGAAAAGGUAUCCCGUGUUGCUGUGGCUGUGAUGUAGGCCAGCAGCUAACGCUCCAAUUGGACCCCUAGCCUGGGAACUU